UGGGGAAUUUUGGACAAUGGGCGAAAGCCUGAUCCAGCAAUGCCGCGUGUGUGAAGAAGGCCUUCGGGUUGUAAAGCACUUUUGUCCGGAAAGAAAUCCUUGGCUCUAAUACAGUCGGGGGAUGACGGUACCGGAAGAAUAAGCACCGGCUAACUACGUGCCAGCAGCCGCGGUAAUACGUAGGGUGCAAGCGUUAAUCGGAAUUACUGGGCGUAAAGCGUGCGCAGGCGGUUUGCUAAGACCGAUGUGAAAUCCCGGGCUCAACCUGGGAACUGCAUUGGUGACUGGCAGGCUAGAGUAUGGCAGAGGGGGGUAGAAUUCCACGUGUAGCAGUGAAAGUGCGUAGAGAUGUGGAGGAAUACCGAUGGCGAAGGCAGCCCCCUGGGGCCAAUACUGACGCUCAUGCACGAAAGCGUGGGGAGCAAACAGGAUUAGAUACCCUGGUAGUCCACGCCCUAAAACGAUGUCAACUAGUUGUUGGGGGAUUCAUUUCCUUAGGUAACGUAGCUAACGCGUGAAGUUGACCGCCUGGGGAGUACGGUCGCAAGAUUAAAACUU
rnacentral:rRNA from 1 species